AACGCGAAGAACCUUACCUGGGCUCGAACGGUGGAAGACAAGCUUUAGAAAUAGAGCUUUCCCGCAAGGGACUUUUACCGAGGUGCUGCAUGGCUGUCGUCAGCUCGUGUCGUGAGAUGUUGGGUUAAGUCCCGCAACGAGCGCAACCCUUGUCCUGUGUUGCUACCGAAAGGGCACUCUCAGGAGACCGCCAGCGAUAAGUUGGAGGAAGGUGGGGAUGACGUCAAGUCAUCAUGGCCUUUAUGUCCAGGGCUACACACGUGCUACAAUGGGCGGUACAAAGCGUUGCCAACCCGCGAGGGGGAGCUAAUCGCAAAAAACCGUCCUCAGUUCGGAUUGCAGGCUGCAACCCGCCUGCAUGAAGCUGGAAUCGCUAGUAAUGGCAUAUCAGAACGAUGCCGUGAAUACGUUCCCGGGCCUUGUACACACCGCUCGCGA
rnacentral:rRNA from 1 species